AUUGAACGCUGGCGGCAGGCUUAACACAUGCAAGUCGAGCGGAGAUGAGGUGCUUGCACCUUAUCUUAGCGGCGGACGGGUGAGCAAUGCUUAGGAAUCUGCCUAUUAGUGGGGGACAACAUUCCGAAAGGGAUGCUAAUACCGCAUACGUCCUACGGGGAGAAAAGCAAGGGAUCUUCGGACCUUGCGCUAAUAGAUGAGCCUAAGUCGGAUUAGCUAGUUGGUGGGGUAAAGGCCUACCAAGGCGACGAUCUGUAGCGGGUCUGAGAAGAUGAUCCGCCACACUGGGACUGAGACACGGCCCAGACUCCUACGGGAGGCAGCAGUGGGGAAUAUUGGACAAUGGGGGGAACCCUGAUCCAGCCAUGCCGCGUGUGUGAAGAAGGCCUUAUGGUUGUAAAGCACUUUAAGCGAGGAGGAGGCUACUGAGACUAAUACUCUUGGAUAGUGGACGUUACUCGCAGAAUAAGCACCGGCUAACUCUGUG
rnacentral:rRNA from 1 species